ACAAGUAUACAAGAGCAUCGGGUGGAUGCCUUGGCGUCGGAAGGCGAAGAAAGACGUGGUAAGCUGCGAUAAGCCUCGGGGAGAAGCUAAACAUUCUGCGAUCCGGGGAUGUCUGAAUGGGGAAACCCGGCGGGAGUCAUGUCCCGUCAUCCGUAAGUGAAUACAUAGCUUGCAGGAAGCCAACUCAGGGAAGUGAAACAUCUCAGUACCUGAAGGAAAGGAAAUCAAACGAGACUCCCUCAGUAGCGGCGAGCGAAGGGGGAAGAGCCUAAACCGGUUGGAUUCGUCCAGCCGGGGUUGUAGGGCCGGCAUACGUGAUUCAUGAGUAGGCAGGGGAAGGAAGCUGGAAAGCUUUGCCAAAGCGGGUGAUAGCCCCGUACCCGAACCUGAAAGUGACACAGCCGGUACCUGAGUACCGCGGGGCACGUGAAACCCCGUGGGAAUCUGGGAGGACCAUCUUCCAAGGCUAAGUACUAACCGACGACCGAUAGUGCACCAGUACCGUGAGGGAAAGGUGAAAAGAACCCCUGUCAGGGGAGUGAAAUAGAAUCUGAAACCUGAUGCUUACAAGCUGUGGGAGCCGUGCUUGCAUGGUGACCACGUGCCUUUUGCAUAAUGAGUCAGCGAGUUAAUCUGUACUGCGAGGUUAAGCGUAAGUGGAGCCGUAGCGAAAGCGAGUCUGAUAAGGGCGAUAGUAGUGCGGAUUAGACCCGAAACCGGGUGAUCUAUCCAUGAGCAGGUUGAAGCACGGGUAAAACCUUGUGGAGGACCGAACCCAUACCGGCUGAAAACGGUUGGGAUGACUUGUGGAUAGGGGUGAAAGGCCAAUCAAACCCGGUGAUAGCUGGUUCUCCCCGAAAUAUAUUGAGGUAUAGCCUCGUGGAUUGUCUACCGGAGGUAAAGCACUGACAGAGCUAGGGGUCCUACCAGAUUACCAAACUCUUUCAAACUCAGAAUGCCGGUCAGAUGUACCACGGGAGUCAGACAGUGGGUGCUAAGGUCCAUUGUCGAGAGGGUAAGAGCCCAGAUCAACAGCUAAGGCCUCCAAAUGCAUGCUCAGUGGUUAAGGUGGUGACGUUGUAGAGACACCCAGGACGUUGGCUUAGAAGCAGCCAUCGUUUAAAGAAAGCGUAAUAGCUCACUGGUCUAAUGACGUUGCGCCGAAAAUGUAACGGGGCUAAGCAUGCUGCCGAAGCUUUGAAUUCCGCGUAUGCGGUCUGGUAGGGGAGCGUUCUUCAUGGGCUGAAGGUGUGUUGUAAAGCAUGCUGGACUGUGGAGAAGUGAUUAUGCUGACAUGAGUAACGAUAAAACGGGUGAAAAACCCGUUCGCCGUAAACCCAAGGUUUCCUGGGUAAAGGUAAUCUUCCCAGGGUUAGUCGGCCCCUAAGGCAAGGCUGAAAGGCGUAGCUGAUGGGAAACGUGUUAAUAUUCACGUACUUGUGUGUUCGCGCGAAGGAGGGACGCAGGAAGAUAGGCGAUCCGGGUGUUGGAUUACCCGGUGCAAGCGAGUAGGCAUGGGAAGCAGGCAAAUCCGUUUCCCUGUAUGCUGAGACGCGAGUCCGUGGGCGUAAGCCCUGAAGUCGCUGAGUCUAUGCUGCCAAGAAAAGCUUCUAAGUUUAGAACACGCAAACCGUACCGGAAACCAACUCAGGUGGGUGGGAUGAAUAAUCCAAGGCGCUCGAGAGAACUCUGGCCAAGGAACUCGGCAAAAUAACCCCGUACCUUCGGAAGAAGGGGUGCUCCUUUAGGUGAAGCGAUUCACUUGUUGAGCCUGAGGGAGCCGCAGAGAAAUGGUGGUGGCGACUGUUUACUAAAAACAUAGGUCUGUGCGAAGUCGUAAAGACGACGUAUACGGACUGACGCCUGCCCGGUGCCGGAAGGUUAAAAGGAGGGGUCAGCGCAAGCGAAGCUCCGAAUUGAAGCCCCGGUAAACGGCGGCCGUAACUAUAACGGUCCUAAGGUAGCGAAAUUCCUUGUCGGGUAAGUUCCGACCUGCACGAAUGGCGUAACGAUCUCCACACUGUCUCGGCCAGAGACUCGGUGAAAUUGAAGUCGCGGUGAAAAUGCCGUGUACCCGCAGAAAGACGGAAAGACCCUGUGCACCUUUACUAUAGCUUGACAUUGGGAUUUGAACCUGCAUGUGUAGGAUAGGUGGGAGGCUGUGAACUCUGUACGCUAGUAUGGAGGGAGCCAUUGUUGAAAUACCACCCUUGUUUUUUCAGGUCCCUAACCCUCAGCCGUAAGCCGGCGAGGGAACAGUGUCUGGUGGGUAGUUUGACUGGGGCGGUC
rnacentral:rRNA from 1 species